UUUUUUUAUGUAUGAUUGGUUAUCUUUGCAAGUCUCUUCGAAUUAUCAGUUUGGUUUGGCCUACUAGAUUGAUCUUUCUUGCAAUGGGAGAACUGCUUAGCUUUGGGUUCAAUCUUGCGGUGUCCUUUCCCGGUGACAGUAAGGGCAGCAAGGCACGUAUUGUAUUGUUGCCAUCGAGGAUAACAAGAUGGGGUUUUCUUCAUAUUACAUGAGUAUAUCCCUCUACAUCAUGUCAUCUUGCUUAAGGCGUUACUCUGUUUUUAACUUAAUACUCUAGAUGCAUGCUGGAUAGCGGUCGAUGAGUGGAGUAAUAGUAGUAGAUGCAGGCAGGAGUCGGUCUACUUGUCUCGGACGUGAUGCCUAUAUACAUGAUCAUACAUAGAUAUUCUCAUAAGUAUGCUCAAUUCUAUCAAUUGCUCAACAGUAAUUUGUUCACCCACCAUGGAAUAAUUAUGCCCUCGAGAGAAGCCACUAGUGAAACCUAUGGCCCCGGGGUCUAUCUUUAUCAUAUCAAUCUCCUACUACUUAGUUAUUUACUUUGCUAUUUACCUUGCCUUUAUUUUUACUUUGCAUCUUUAUCAUAAAAAGACCAAAAAUAUUAUCUUAUCAUAUCUACCAGAUCUCACUCUCGUAAGUGGCCCCAUAGGGAUUGACAACCCCUAUUUGCGUUGGUUGCUAGGAUUUAUUUGUUUUGUGCAGGUACGAGGGACUCGCGCGUAGCCUCCUACUGGAUUGAUACCUUGGUUCUCAAAAACUGAGGAAAAUACUUUCGCUACUUUGCUGCAUCAUCCCUUCCCCUUCGGGGAAAACCAACGCAGUGCUAAAAGAGGUAGCAAGAAUGAUUUCUGGCGCCGUUGCCAGGGAGGUCUACGCAAAAGUCAACAUACCAAGUACCCAUGUGUGAUGGCCUGGCUUAUUAGGGAUGAUAGACUACUCAUAUCAAUAAGGAAUUCCUUCUUUUCCGGGAUCCCAUUCGGACAGAACUCCAAAGUUAAGCGUGCUCAGCUUGGAGUAGUGUCAGGAUGGGUGACCGACCGGGAAGUUGCUCCCGGGUGCGCACGAGUGAGGACAAAGUGCGCAGAAAAGACUAGUAUUGAUCUGUGAGGCCAGUCUAGAUCCCGCCAGGAGUAACGACCACCGGCGGGUGUGUCCGGGGCAUUACAAGUUGGUAUCAGAGCUGACCCUCGCGGUUACACGGAUGGUUGCGGACAGGUGCGUGGUCAUGUUGUUCAUGAUGUUUGUGACCCGUCGUGGCACACGACAUGGCACAUGUACUGGACUGGAAGCACAGACGUAUGUGCCAAGAGGGAACGUUCUUGUGGCCCGACGAGGACGUCGGUUCCUCUAAGUGGGGGUGUAUGUGAUGGCCUGGCUUAUUAGGGAUGAUAGACUACUCAUAUCAAUAAGGAAUUCCUUCUUUUCCGGGAUCCCAUUCGGAUAGAACUCCAAAGUUAAGCGUGCUCAGCUUGGAGUAGUGUCAGGAUGGGUGAUCGACCGGGAAGUUGCUCCCGGGUGCGCAUGAGUGAGAAAAAAGUGCGCAGAAAAGACUAGUAUUGAUCUGUGAGGCCAGUCUAGAUCCCGCCAGGAGUAACGACCACCGGCGGGUGUGUCCGGGGCGUUACACCAUCACAUACCCUUAUCUCCCGUAUUACAUUAUUUGCCAUUUGCCUCUCGUUUUCCUCUCCCCCACUUCACACUUACCGUUUUAUUUGCCCUAUCUCUCUCCAUCCUCCCUCUAUUUGCCUCUUUUUGCCCGUUUGCUUUUUGUUUGCUUGUGUGUUAGUUUGCUUGCUUGUCACGAUGGCUCAAGAUAAUACUAAAUUGUGUGACUUCACCAAUACCAACAACAAUGAUUUUAUUAGCACUCCGAUUGCUCCUCUUACCGAUGCUGAAUCUUGUGAAAUUAAUACUGCUUUGCUGAAUCUUGUCAUGAAAGAUCCGUUCUCCGGCCUUCUUGGUGAAGAUGCCGCUACUCAUCUAAAUAGCUUUGUUGAUUUGUGUGACAUGCAAAAGAAGAAAGAUGUGGAUAAUGAUAUUGUUAAAUUGAACCUAUUUCCUUUUUCGCUUAGAGAUCGUGCUAAAGCUUGGUUUUCGUCUUUGCCAAAAAAUAGUAUUGAUUCAUGGAACAAGUGCAAAGAUACUUUUAUCUCUAAGUACUUUCCCCCCGCUAAGAUCAUCUCUCUUAGAAACGAUAUUAUGAAUUUUAAGCAACUUGAUCAUGCACAUGUUGCACAAGCUUGGGAGAGAAUGAAGUUAACGAUAUGUAAUUGCCCCACUCAUGGUUUAAAUUUGUGGAUGAUUAUACAAAUUUUUUAUGCCGGAUUGAAUUUUGCUUCUAGAAAUCUUUUAGAUUCGGCCGCAGGAGGCACUUUUACGGAAAUCACUUUAGGAGAAGCUACUAAACUCGUAGAUAAUAUUAUGGUUAAUUAUUCUCAAUGGCAUCCUGAAGGAUCUACUAAUAAAAAGGUGCAUGUGAUAGAAGAAAUUAAUGUUUUGAGUGGAAAGAUGGAUGAACUUAUAAAAUUAUUUGCUAAUAAGAGUGUUUCUUCUGAUCCUAAUGAUAUGCCCUUGUCUACUUUGAUUGAAAGUAAUAAUGAACCUAUGGAUGUGAAUUUUGUUGGUAGGAAAUUUUUUGGUAACAACGCGGAUAGAGGAAAUUUCAAUCCUAGGCCUUACCCUAGUAAUCCCUCUAAUAAUUAUGGUAAUUCCUACAAUAAUUCUUAUGGAAAUUAUAAUAAUAUGCCCUCUGAUUUUGAAUAUAAUAUUAAAGAAUUUAUUACUUCGCAAAAGAAUUUUAAUGCUAUGAUUGAAGAAAAAUUGCUUAAGAUUGAUGAUUUGGCUAGGAACGUUGAUAGAAUUGCUCUUGAUGUUGAUUCUUUGAAACUUAGAUCUAUUCCACCUAAGCAUGAUAUCAAUGAGUCUCUCAAAGCCAUGAGAAUUUCCUUUGAUGAGUGCAAAGAAAGAACCACUAGGAUGCGUGCUAAGAAAGAUGCCUUUAUAAAAGCGUGUUCUUCUAGUUCCUAUGAAAAUAACGAUGAAGAUAUAAAAGUUAUUAAUGUGUCCCCUAUUACAUCUUUGUUUUGCAAUAUGAAUCUUGAUAAUGAUGGGACUGAAUAUGAUCCACCUUUACCUAGAAGGCAUUCCAAGAAUUCUGAAUCUUUUGAUCUUCAUGCUAAAUUUGAUAAAAGUGGGAUUGAAGAAAUUAAAACCCUAGAUGUUGCUAAACCCACUAUUAUGGACUUCAAGGAAUUUAACUAUGAAAAUUGCUCUUUGAUUGAUUGUAUUUCCUCAUUGCAAUCCGUGCUAAAUUCUCCUCAUGCUUAUAGUCAAAAUAAAGUGUUUACUAAACAUAUCGUUGAUGCCUUGAUGCAACCUUAUGAAGAAAAACUUGAAUUGGAAGUUUCUAUCCCUAGAAAACUUUAUGAUGACUGGUAACCAACUAUUAAAAUCUAUAUCUAUAUCUAUACCUAUAUUAAUUACAGACUUCCUAAAAAAUCCCACGUUAAUCAGUAAUUAGGAACCGUUUAUCUGGUGGGACCAACUUAUUACGGUGUAGAUCUACGCAUCUAAUAACAUCUAACCAUCAAUGAGCCGAUGAAAAAACAUUAAAAGAGACUCCUCCACGCCUCUCCACCCAUGUGUGCUUAGCGAUCCCUUCUCUUCCCCAUAUGUCCAUGGUCCCUGAAAAAUAGGAAAAACCAAUCUACCGCACAGCUAGAAAACCUCAAGAUCCUGCAAAAAAAGUCUAGGUCGGUUCUUCCUCAAAAGUGUGCUCACGCUCCCAAUCCCCCCAACUGAUCUAUUGCAAUUGGCACGUUGCUAUUGCAGCUCCUCCGCCGCUUCAUGUCGCCCUUCGUAACUUCAUGCCAUCAUCCACUUUGAAGAUCCGCAUGGUGCUGCAAUUCGUCCAAGGAGUAAGGGUUCAACCAGAUUCCCAUCCAAUCCAUCUCCAACUCUUCCUACUGACCAUGUUCUACUCAUACCUUCGCUGCUUCCAGGUAGGGAAGCUCGAAUCCAGCAAAAAAAACUUAAUUAGUAAUUAGGCAAUGGAGUGAAGGAAGGGUGAUCUUAUCCCAACGCCCAAACCUUGUUCGAUUUCAUCUGUGGCCGAUUCGUACGCCCAUCCACAAGCAAGUAACUCUCUUCUCUUCCUUGAUGAUUUCCUCCUCUGUUCUCCUCCUUGACGAAUUCAUCUGAGAGCCCCCAAAUAAUUUUGCUUUAUCCGUGAUCUCUCAUCAAGGAAAAAACUGCUUUGUAUAUGUGUUUCACAUCACAACGCUUACGAGAUUAAGAAAUAUAGGAAGCGAUGAAGAAUGGGCCAUGUAAGAUAAUCUGCUACUUCUUUGGUGCCAACCUGCAGUAAGCUACCGUGGUACAUACAUGUAGAAAUCAAUCACUGCCAACAAGUUCUGUUUAAUGUUUAUAGAAGCUUCAUAUAUAGAUGUUCUCCAUAUUUAGAUGAUGCAUGUUGUUUCUUCCUGUAUGUGCUAACUCAGAUUAUCUGCAUGUUUUAACAAAGAAUCCUUCUCUCCAAGAUUAAGAAAAAUGUAUGAUACCUUAUUGACUUCGCAUAUUUGGCUGUACUUUGGACAAUUAAUAUAUUUUCCAACUUCUAGAUUUCUUAAAAUCAUAUCUAGAGUGAAUAAUAUUUUCUUGAUAUAUUUGUAAGAACUUAGUAUUUUUGUCUGUGCAAAUAUUUAGCUUCAUGUAUGGCUUAUUGAGUUACACAUGUUUCUACAUAUAGUUCAUUUGUUGUAUUUGGAAACUGAUCUAGGUAGAUAAUCUUUUUAGUACAAAAAAAUCAUAUUAAGUUUUCUUUCAAUUGUAAUAACCGAGUCCAUAUCAUCUUUUUUGAUUUUAAUAAUUUGGUUGAUCUUUACUUCGUAGUUACAAUAUUCAGAUAUCAUAUAUAGCUGCCACUUACAGAAAAUAUGGUAAGGAUUUUCCAGCUAAACUUUCAAAGUGUCCUCAUAGUGAUUUUCAUGUUUAUAGAAAUGGGUUAUGCAUAGUGAUAUUCUUCAGUUGGCACCUCAAUAUGCUCUCUUUAAAUUAGUAGAUUUGUGUUGUUCAAUUAUGUGUAGCAGAAUAUUGACGCAUGCUUCUAGAUCUACUUCAUUGAACAAUACUGUGGAGUCUGCACUAGCAUCUAACAAAAAAAUCUAUGGUGGAACUUACACAAUAACCUAACAUCUUAUGCAGAUUACAUGUAGGAUUUACAAUCUUUGCCUCAAAUCAUUAAAUGGGUUUAGCUACUGUGAGUUCCAGUAUGGUCGUUUAUUGAUCACAAAGAAAUUGCUUCUGCCAUUGGAAGUAUGACAUGAGUCCUGACUUCUGCAGGUAAGGAAUUGACUCACUUGGUAGUUUUCUAGCUGUUUGAGUUUAUCUUCCUGUUGCCACAAAUUACAUUACUAUUAUUUUCUACAAACCAGUGUAGGAAUCUGUAGUUUCUCCAUGGUGGUAAAAAGUGAAGGAGUUCUCUUGAUAUUCCCCAUCACUUUUCAUAACAGAAUGUGCAUCUUAUCUUCACUGAUAUAAACAAUCUCGGUAAGAAUCCUCUAUCUUCAAACAAACCUCUAACACCAUGGAUCAUUGUUUCAAAAUGUNNNNNNNNNNNNNNNNNNNNNNNNNNNNNNNNNNNNNNNNNNNNNNNNNNNNNNNNNNNNNNNNNNNNNNNNNNNNNNNNNNNNNNNNNNNNNNNNNNNNNNNNNNNNNNNNNNNNNNNNNNNNNNNNNNNNNNNNNNNNNNNNNNNNNNNNNNNNNNNNNNNNNNNNNNNNNNNNNNNNNNNNNNNNNNNNNNNNNNNNNNNNNNNNNNNNNNNNNNNNNNNNNNNNNNNAACUAGCAAGUAAUCUAUAUUUUCUUUGUUAUUAUAUUUUCUGUUUGUCCUAUGUACUAAUUCAUGUAUCUCACUUUCCACUAUUUUUAAUACGAAUCAAACCCCUCACGCAUAUAUGUUUCUUGCAUAUUUCAGACUGAAUUAGAAGUAAAACCACAUUGACAUAAGUACGAAUGAUGAUGCACUUAUCAGAUGUUAAGAUGAUACUACUGCACAAACAAUGUACAAACUGUAAGAAAGCUUUCAAACAUUGUUAAACUUAUUAGCCAAUGAUAAUAUAUUUUUUGACGAAUAGGUUGCUGAGCCGACAUAAACCAUAACUCCACACUAAUGUGCUUAUCUUACAAAUGAUUUGUCUUGAUAAAUUCUUCGAUCUCAAUCUUACAAAUGGAAAGAGUCAUGGGCCCUCAGCAAAGUCACUUUUUUCUACACCACUAGCCAGUUUGAUAUAAAUAGAUUGUGUUUGUGAAUUUUUUGGAUGGUACUGCCCGAGUACCAAUCUUUUUGUUUGAAAACUAAAAAAGAUUUAGGCGAACCUUUAGUCUCUCUUUUGUGCACCGAAGGAGAAUUUUGUUGGGUAGGGUUGCAUCACACAAUCUUAUAUGUUGUCGACCAUUGUUACCUGUACAUGAUGCUACUUCAGAAAAUUAGUAAUUAAUAUAUACAUCUAUAUAUGUAUAUAUUUCAAAUUUAUAAUCCAAGAUACUGUGAUGUAACUAGCUCGUGCGAUGCAAUAUAUUAGUAAUUUAUAAGCUGUCUAUUUAUCAAUAUGUUGUUGCUUGCUUGCUGGGCCAGAACUGCCUUGGUUGCAGCGCUCAGCAGGACAUUAUCCCCACAAAAUUGAAACUACGGGUUCAUGGCAAUAGUCGACCUACCAUGAUUGUCUCGCGUGGCCUAUUUCCACAUGUGUGGCUGCAAGAUCAAGAUUAUGGUGUAGGUCAUUGUCGUGGCCGUGUACAUUGGCCAAGGCACCAAUAUCAUUCUCAAUUGUCCCCGCAAAACAAAUGUCAUUCUCAAGUGAUUGAGGUUGACAUUCGAACCAAGGAGCAUGAACUCACAUGAUAUAACCGAUCCAUGGACUGUAUUCAUGUGCCCAACAUGUGUCCAAUGCCUAACCGGAAUUCAAGCCAACAAGGACGCCAGCAUAUAAUGAUUAUCUUUAUGGCGCUCUUCAUACCCAUGGAUACAUGACAAUUUCCAAUGCCUAAUAGGAAUUCAAGAUCAACAAGGACGUCAGCAGAUAAAUUAUGUCUUUAACAAAACCGGUAACAUUGACUUCGCCGAGACCGGCCUGAGCAUGCCGUUUCACAGAAAAGUCUCACUAUUUGAUUAAGAAUUUUUAGUGUUAAUCCUGGUACACUAACUAAGACUGAGAGGAAACACUCGCAUGUAUGCUUCUGUCCGUAACCUGUAUGCUGCUUUGAUGUCAAUAGAGAAAGAGGAGCUCUGGACUAGGCAUUACAUGCUGGACACCAUGGACUGAAAACAUGAGACAUGGAUUGACACGGGAACGAUGUAUUACAAUUCCGUUUCCCAUAUAAUCUAAAAGGAUGAGUUGGGCUUCCUUUCAUGAGCUUCUUUUCUGUAAGGUUCAUGUAUAGAGAAAGAAGAACCAAAUAUAAAC
rnacentral:lncRNA from 1 species